AUCCAACUGAAAAGCCCCAUAUAGAACGAAACGCGCGUCCUGGAU
rfam:Schistosoma margrebowiei strain Zambia genome assembly, scaffold: SMRZ_contig0000369